UUCCAAGCAUUAUAAACCUCCCUAACUUUUCUUUAUUUUUCCCCUUUUUUAUUAUACAUUCAAAGGCAUCCCAUGUCAUGUUGAUGUAGAAAUACCUUUGCUCUCCGUGAAAUGUCUAUUGAUGAUACCUUAAUUAUCUUUUCAAAGAAGUACGUUUUGCUGAGAUAAUAUUUUGAAAAAGCCCAACAUUUCACUUUGUGUCCAGCACUCAUUGACAAAGCUGGUUAAAAUAACAGAGGAAGAUGUCUGGUGUGUAAGGCUGCAAAAGGAUUUUGGAGAUGCUCAUUCAUCCACUGGAACUGCCAAGACCCUAUCUCAAUCAUAUAUGCUCAAGAUCUGGCCUUCAAAAGUGGAAUCUAAAAAUCUUAUUGUUCACUUAGGCCAUGUACAGAUACGUCGUGCUGGAAUCCAGGAAAACAAGGACAUUAUGACAGCAAUUGCAGAAUAUCCAAGUGAUGAGCUGGUGAAGAAAAGGUGCAGUUGCAUGAAUCCACUGAACUGUCCUACCUCUGAGUGCUGUUCACAGAAUGCCACCAGUCUGAGACAUUCACCCACUUUCCAGGUAUUCCAGACCAGGUUGGCUGACUGA
rnacentral:lncRNA from 1 species